CCGCCCGUCACACCAUGGAAGCCAGCUGUACCGGAAGUCGGUGCGCCAACCCGCAAGGGAGGCAGCCGCCAUGGUAUGACUGGUGACUGGGUG
rnacentral:rRNA from 1 species